rnacentral:sRNA from 19 species
UUGCAUUAGUAUGCCCGGCGUCACUGGGGAGUAGCCUCUCUUCGCCCUGAAGAGGUUUGCGUCAACAUACUUGGCCCACAGGCCAUGGCGUAAACGGUUCCAUAACUUGGCAAGACCUUUGACUAUGCCGCACCGGUUGGGCCGGGGCGUGGCGUAGUCAUAUGGUUAAUCCGGCCCAGGAGAUUU